rnacentral:rRNA from 1 species
UACAGAGGUCCCAAGCGUUGUUCGGAUUCAUUGGGCGUAAAGGGUGUGUAGGUGGCGCCGUAAGUCGGGUGUGAAAUCUCGGGGCUUAACUCCGAAACUGCAUUCGAUACUGCGGUGCUUGAGGACUGGAGAGGAGACUGGAAUUCAUGGUGUAGCAGUGAAAUGCGUAGAGAUCAUGAGGAAGACCAGUGGCGAUGGCGGGUCUCUGGACAGUUCCUGACACUGAGACACGAAGGCCAGGGGAGCAAACGGG